GAUGAACGCUGGCGGCGUGCCUAAUACAUGCAAGUCGAGCGAACGGACGAGAAGCUUGCUUCUCUGAUGUUAGCGGCGGACGGGUGAGUAACACGUGGAUAACCUACCUAUAAGACUGGGAUAACUUCGGGAAACCGGAGCUGAUACCGGAUAAUAUUUUGAACCGCAUGGUUCAAAAGUGAAAGACGGUCUUGCUGUCACUUAUAGAUGGAUCCGCGCUGCAUUAGCUAGUUGGUAAGGUAACGGCUUACCAAGGCAACGAUGCAUAGCCGACCUGAGAGGGUGAUCGGCCACACUGGAACUGAGACACGGUCCAGACUCCUACGGGAGGCAGCAGUAGGGAAUCUUCCGCAAUGGGCGAAAGCCUGACGGAGCAACGCCGCGUGAGUGAUGAAGGUCUUCGGAUCGUAAAACUCUGUUAUUAGGGAAGAACAUAUGUGUAAGUAACUGUGCACAUCUUGACGGUACCUAAUCAGAAAGCCACGGCUAACUACGUG
rnacentral:rRNA from 1 species